CCAGACUCCUACGGGAGGCAGCAGUGAGGAAUAUUGGUCAAUGGCCGGAGGACUGAACCAGCCAAGUCGCGUGAGGGAUGAAGGUACAAAGGAUCGUAAACCUCUUUUGUCAGGGAACAAAGGGGGGCACGUGUGCCGUUUUGAGAGUACCUGAAGAAAAAGCAUCGGCUAACUCCGUGCCAGCAGCCGCGGUAAUACGGAGGAUGCGAGCGUUAUCCGGAUUUAUUGGGUUUAAAGGGUGCGCAGGCGGUAUGUCAAGUCAGCGGUAAAAUUUCGGGGCUCACCCCCGUCCUGCCGUUGAAACUGGCAGUCUUGAGUUAGCGAGAAGUAUGCGGAAUGCGCGGUGUAGCGGUGAAAUGCAUAGAUAUCGCGCAGAACUCCGAUUGCGAAGGCAGCAUGCCGGCGCCCCACUGACGCUCAUGCACGAAAGCGUGGGUAUCGAACAGGAUUAGAUACCCCUGUAGG
rnacentral:rRNA from 1 species